rnacentral:rRNA from 1 species
UCAGGCCUAACACAUGCAAGUCGAGCGGUAGCAGGAAGUGCUUGCACUUCGCUGACGAGCGGCGGACGGGUGCGUAACACGUAGGAAUCUGCCUGGUAGUGGGGGAUAGCCCGGAGAAAUCCGGAUUAAUACCGCAUACGCCCUACGGGGGAAAGGAGGGGACUCUUCGGAGCCUUUCGCUAUCAGAUGAGCCUGCGUCGGAUUAGCUUGUUGGUGGGGUAAAGGCCUACCAAGGCGACGAUCCGUAGCUGGUCUGAGAGGAUGAUCAGCCACACUGGGACUGAGACACGGCCCAGACUCCUACGGGAGGCAGCAGUGGGGAAUAUUGCACAAUGGGCGAAAGCCUGAUGCAGCCAUGCCGCGUGUGUGAAGAAGGCCUUAGGGUUGUAAAGCACUUUCAGUGGGGAGGAAAGGUUGAAGGUUAAUACCCUUCAGUUGUGACGUUACCCACAGAAGAAGCACCGGCUAACUCCGUGCCAGCAGCCGCGGUAAUACGGAGGGUGCGAGCGUUAAUCGGAAUUACUGGGCGUAAAGCGUGCGUAGGCGGCCACCUAAGUUGGAUGUGAAAGCCCCGGGCUCAACCUGGGAACUGCAUCCAAAACUGGGUGGCUAGAGUACGGGAGAGGAGUGUGGAAUUUCCUGUGUAGCGGUGAAAUGCAUAGAUAUAGGAAGGAACACCAGUGGCGAAAGGCGACACUCU